rnacentral:lncRNA from 1 species
UCCAAGAUUACCUUCAAAGCUGCUUCCUGCAACCUAGUUGAUAAUCACGGUUUUAUUCGUCCAAGAUUACCUUCAAAGCUGAUUCGUGCAACCUAGUUAACAUUUAGAACUUUGUUAACUUGGAUUAUGAUGUUUGUCCUUAGUACCCUGCAAAACCAAACAUGGAUGGUUUUGGUUAGAAGUACAUAACUUGGUGCUGUCAAGUUAUUAAAAUUGCAUGUGCUUCACAAAAUACUAUUUUCGUGAUUUUCUGGCAUUUAUUCUAGCAGACAGUUUCAUAAUGUUAACAUUAUGUGAUAAAAUUCAUUUUCAAUCACCAGAAUGUUCUUGCUCCCCUUGAAAUCUCAACUGAUAGUGAAUCUAAUUUUCAUGAGUCACAACUGAUGAAACUAGAAUUAUUGUGGCAAUUUGGACUCUCCGAAUUGUUCCCACACAUUUGUCGGAUCCUCAGGACAACAUUUUUCUGAGAUUAGUUACUAGGAGUAAGAUAUCUAAGAGAAGACAGGAAUUUCCAUCUCAGCAUAAUUGAAAUGUAAGCUUUCUAUUUAUUGCUGAUGAAAUUUUAAGAGUUCUGGACUAGUUGAUGUAACUAUUAACUAGUGUUUUUUUUUUUCUUUU